UACGUAGGUGGCAAGCGUUGUCCGGAUUUACUGGGCGUAAAGCGUGCGCAGGCGGUUUUGUAAGCCAGAUGUGAAAUCCCCCGGGCUUAACCUGGGAAUGGCAUUUGGGACUGCAAGGCUCGAGUGCGGCAGAGGAGACUGGAAUUCCUGGUGUAGCAGUGAAAUGCGUUGAUAUCAUCAGGAACACCGGUGGCGAAGGCGGCUUUCUGGGUCUUACCUGACGCUGAGGAACGAAAGCCAGGGGAGCGAACGGG
rnacentral:rRNA from 1 species